GCCCUUCAGUGCUGCAGCUAACGCAUUAAGCACUCCGCCUGGGGAGUACGACCGCAAGGUUGAAACUCAAAGGAAUUGACGGGGGCCCGCACAAGCGGUGGAGCAUGUGGUUUAAUUCGAAGCAACGCGAAGAACCUUACCAGGUCUUGACAUCCUUUGACCACUCUAGAGAUAGAGCUUCCCCUUCGGGGGCAAAGUGACAGGUGGUGCAUGGUUGUCGUCAGCUCGUGUCGUGAGAUGUUGGGUUAAGUCCCGCAACGAGCGCAACCCUUAUUGUUAGUUGCCAUCAUUCAGUUGGGCACUCUAGCAAGACUGCCGGUGACAAACCGGAGGAAGGUGGGGAUGACGUCAAAUCAUCAUGCCCCUUAUGACCUGGGCUACACACGUGCU
rnacentral:rRNA from 1 species